rnacentral:rRNA from 1 species
GACGAACGCUGGCGGCGUGCCUAAUACAUGCAAGUCGAACGCACAGUUUAUACCGUUGCUUGCUUCACCAUAGCCGGUGAGUUGCGAACGGGAGAGGAACGCGUAAGUUACCUGACUGGUAGCACGGGGUGACUACUGGAAACGAUAGCUAAUAUCUCAUAAUAUUCAUUAUUCCAUGAUAAUUAAUGGAAUGGCGCAAUUGCACCGCUACCACCUGGACCUGUGUUGUAUUAGCUAGUAGGUGAGGUAACGGCUCACCUAGGCCACGAUACAUCUCCGAACUGAGAGGGUGGUCGGCCACACUGGGACGUAGACACGGGCCAGACUUCUACGGGGGGCAGCAGUAGGGGAAUCUCGGCAAAGGACGGAAGUCUGGCCGAGCAAAGCCGGGUGAGGGAAGGAGGGUUUCGGAUCGUAAAGCUCUGUUGUAAGGGAAGAACGGGUGUGGGAGUGGAAAGUGCACACUGUGACGGUAUCUAACCAGAAAGGGACGGCUAACUACGUG